rnacentral:rRNA from 2 species
ACGAAAUGACUCUCGGCAACGGAUAUCUCGGCUCUUGCAUCGAUGAAGAACGUAGCGAAAUGCGAUACUUGGUGUGAAUUGCAGAAUCCCGUGAACCAUCGAGUCUUUGAACGCAAGUUGCGCCCAAAGCCAUUAGGUUGAGGGCACGCCUGCCUGGGUGUCACAC